GUGUCUCAACCUGAACAAAGCAGUUCAAAACGGAUCACAUGCGUGGCUAAUGAUGUGAAGAGACCAAUGUAAGGCAGGUUAGUGAGCACUGGUGGUUGUUGGUAGCGACAAACGGAGGCAGAGUAAGAGGUGGUUCAGGAGGAAUCUGAGAGAAAGGAGGUAAAAGAGAGAGAACAAUUACAUACCGUAUUUCGUAUGAAAUAUGGGCAACUUUUGUAGACCAUGUACUUUUCCAUGGUUUGACAAUGAAGGAUUAGCGGAAUGCAGCCCAACCUAAGCAGGUUCACUGUGUCCACCGAAGUCCGAAGAUUCAGAGAUGUGAACCGAGUUCCCUUCAAUCGCUGACCAGUUAGGGUGCGUGCCCCCAAAGUCAGCUGGGAUAGGCUCCAGCUCACCCGUCACCCCAAUGAAGAAAUGCAAUAUAGAAAACGGAUGGAAAGGUUCAGUCAGCAACGACUGAAUUUCUCACCCUCCUGUGAUCUCGACGCCCAUCUUGCUAUGACAGAUGGUGCAGACUCCUGAAGCCUACAGCCUUUGUCAAUGAAAGGCACCCUGGGGAGAGCAAAGACCAACUCAGGGGCAACGUUGACUCACAGUGGCUUCUAUAUCCGGAAGGUUCCGAACAGGCUCCUUGGAAGUAACAAGGGAGGACGCUUCACAGAUCAAACAGACACUUAAUUGGACCAAUUAGCCCACUUGCAUCUUUGAUCCAGCUGCAGGCUUCAACUUUAACGCUUUUGUGUUUCACACUGAACCAUGUGACUGCGCAAGACACACUGGCAGUGGACAGGACUAAUAUCUGUGGCUUGCUAUACAGCAGCUGCUCUGUACACGUGUAAUCCAUUCAAACAAGGUGAUGUGGCAAUUUUCUCAUUGUGUCAUCCUGACUCAGACUGUGCUCGGCGCAGGAAUGCAACGCUCAGGCGCGAUUUUCCCUUUGCCAUUGAUUUCCAGGAAGAAAUCAUUCAAUUGCGCCAUCGUCUCUCCAGUCAUGAGAGAGAAAAAAAAAAACUGUGACUAAUUUGAUUGUCCGGACCCACCGUGUAGCAGCUGUAAUGUCUGGAUUAGAAAGGGCUGUCUACCUUUAUUUAGUCGUUUGGAGUGGACCUCCUGGAGUGGAACAGAGGAAACCAAGGCCACCCAAGUCCUGAAAAUGUACUGUAUGUCUGUGUGCGUGUGUGUGCGUUAUAGCUUCAUCUAACUCCCAACACUAAACAGCCCAGACUCUGAGCUCAGAAGAGGGAAGCCUGUACUCAAUUUAUAACAAAAUGAGGAGGCGUGUGGGUUUGCCUUGUUUUUUUUUUUUAAAAUCUAGAUUCAUGACCCUGACUCUGUACAUAAUUACUCACGCUGUGUAAAGUUAUUCACAGGAGCAUAGCAUUGCAGAUUAUAUCAUUUUGCAACAAGUGGUAUGCCUUCAUUUGGUAAGGUUAUGCAUUUUAUUGCUUUUCAAGCAGGAAGGUUCCUAUAAUAUCGCCCAUAAUAAUAGUAUCCCUUUGUUGAGUCGAUGGUCACAACAAUACCAUAUUGGUACGCUUGCAGAGGACAGAGAACGAUUGCUGUUUGAUUGGUCGACAGACAAUUGUCUGCCUCUAUUCUUGUCAGAAUGAAUUAAUUCAUUGGGAAGAAAAACAACAAGCAUCAUUUAAAAAAAUAUAGUAGACUAUAGUAGAUGAAUGAUUAAAGUUUUUUUUGUUUUUUUUUGUUGAGGCUGCACGGCACAACCAGUUAGCCUUCUAUUUGUGAAAUCCGUCUACAGCGUGAGCACUAAGAUUGGCUGUUUUGCCCGUUUCACAUGAUAAUCAGCUGAACUCGUCGUUGACCAAACAUAAGGAUUUGCGAACGUAAAAAUUCAACAGGUUUAACAUUUACCAUGGUCAGCCACAACCAUUUUCUAAACUGUAAAAAAAAAAAAAAAUCACUCUUAACAUAUCCCACACCACAGCGUAACCGGUCAGGAUAAUCUUUAGAGACAUCCAACUAUAGAGCUUUUCCUGACUUUGAUUGUAAGAGAGAGAAAAAAAAAUGCUCCAACUACUGUAAUCCUGAUUAUUGGUAUGUGCGUACCCUGCUUUCGUAGAAAUGCGCCUUUAGCCACAAUAAGAACACUCUCAGUCCUUAGACAGGCAGUAGCUUACCAGAUACCUUUGCAACGAACCGCAAGUGACUCAUUGUGUUGAUAUUGAAGCACUGCAGCGGAAUAUUAUAAACUCAAAUCGCAGUUGUUUAAAAAGAGAGUGGCAGAAAACAAGCACUGGUGUCGACACGUUUGGUCCCUUUUGAACCCUUUUAAACCUGUCACCACUGCUUGGAAAAAAUAAAAAAUCCAAAUCAAAGCACUCAUAACAGAAGUGGUAAUCAUAACCAUAAACACACUCUUUCCUGAGCAGGCUCAAAAGAAAUGGAAAUUCAGAUAACAACAUGGUGUGUUUUUCCCCUCACUCCAGUGAAAGAGUAAAAGCCCUUUACUGGAAGAGGGAUUACUGUGUCCAAAAGUGUUAAACACCCCCCAAGUUAUGGGCCCAUCAAAGAACAGAAGGGCCGCUGUAAGUGCGUGUGUGUGUGUGUGUGUGUGUGUGUGUGUGUGUGUGGUGAAACAGGGGGAGAUACACAGCAGGCUAAACCACAUCGAGGUUUGCGUAGCUUUCUGACUGAUGCAUGCAGGCCCAAAAGGUGAGUCACACAAGUGGAUGAUGGUGGUGGAGGGGGAGACGGUGAAUAAUAAGGGCAGUAAUGUGUGUCUACUUCACGAUGCGGGGGCACAGAGGAGGUCACGGAGCCCCCAAGAAAGCGAGUUCUUUGUUCCUGAAAUGCCAUGAGUGAUUUAAGCAAAACAACAAGAUGCGCUUGUUUAGUUCGAGCGCAACGUCGCCUCCACUUUCUCAAAUUUCAGUCUUACUUUAUCCUUUAUUUAUUGCUUUUUCUUUUUCUCCAGUAUAUAUAUAUAUAUAUAUAUAUAAUAUAUAUAUUUGUGUGUGUGUGUGUUUCUUUUUUAAAGACAGGACAAAUAGCUGUAUCUGUAAAAAAAUAAAAAUACUUGCAGGGAUGAGCGUGAAUAUUAAUCUCAUACGGUUUGAAUAAUUAGCCUGAAACUGGCAACAAAUAAAUUGAAAUGUUCACUUUGAGCAUGACAACAAUUUUCUAAGUGCCAUUAAAAUGGUGUUACUGUAAAUAAUGUGCAUAUAAAUAUUGAAUUAUUAAAUUAACUAGUAGAAUAGUAAAACAAAACAUGAACUACUGUUAUUCAUCCAUACCUGGUUCUCUCUUUGGUACAUGCCCUACAAGGCCAAUUUUGUGGCCUUGUGCAAAUCGGUAGUUUUUGCGUCAUAUUAAAAACAACAACAUUGCUACUAAUAUUACUACUACAGUACAAAUGAAAAUAUUUUAGGCUGUUAUAGCUGCAAAGGG